rnacentral:lncRNA from 1 species
UCUGAUACGAGAUCAAAGGCCCGACAAAUGCGUUCCAAACUAAAUGGGACCAUCCAGGAGUUUGUUAGUAAGGCCUUAGAUGCGUACACAAAAGAAAGGGAAAAUCAAGAUUUCAAAUAUUGGGAAUCUUGGUCCAAGACACCAAAUCUUGCAGCCAAAGCGCAUUGGAUCUCCAUUACGAGCAUCAACGAUUCAAUUUCGG